CCUACGGGAGGCAGCAGUGGGGAAUAUUGGACAAUGGGGGCAACCCUGAUCCAGCCAUGCCGCGUGUGUGAAGAAGGCCCUCGGGUUGUAAAGCACUUUCAGUGAGGAAGAACGCCUGGUGGUUAAUACCCAUCAGGAAAGACAUCACUCACAGAAGAAGCACCGGCUAACUCCGUGCCAGCAGCCGCGGUAAUACGGAGGGUGCGAGCGUUAAUCGGAAUUACUUGGCGUAAAGCGCGCGUAGGUGGCUUGAUAAGCCGGUUGUGAAAGCCCCGGGCUCAACCUGGGAACGGCAUCCGGAACUGUCAAGCUAGAGUGCAGGAGAGGAAGGUAGAAUUCCCGGUGUAGCGGUGAAAUGCGUAGAGAUCGGGAGGAAUACCAGUGGCGAAGGCGGCCUUCUGGACUGACACUGACACUGAGGUGCGAAAGCGUGGGUAGCAAACAGGAUUAGAUACCCGAGUAGUC
rnacentral:rRNA from 1 species